UACGAAGGGGGGCUAGCGUUGCUCGGAAUGACUGGGCGUAAAGGGCGCGUAGGCGGCUUGCACAGUCAGGCGUGAAAUUCCUGGGCUCAACCUGGGGACUGCGCUUGAGACGUGUGGGCUUGAGUGGGGAAGAGGGUCGUGGAAUUCCCAGUGUAGAGGUGAAAUUCGUAGAUAUUGGGAAGAACACCGGUGGCGAAGGCGGCGACCUGGUCCUUGAGCUGACGCUGAGGCGCGAAAGCGUGGGGAGCAAACAGG
rnacentral:rRNA from 1 species